ACGCCCCAUGCCCUCAUGGUCUAACCUAUGGGUACACAUUUCUCCGGUUCAAUACCGGGAACGUCAUGAAAACCCUAGCCAAAAUCAACAACUCUCAGCACACAUUUCUCCAACCCUCUUGAAUCAGAGUUUCUAUGGAGGAUUCCGAUCAUCAACCAACUCAUUCUGGUGCUUUGAUUGGGUCCAACGAUGACCUUUUAACCGAGAUCCUUCUCCGGCUCCCUGUUACCUCCAUCCUUCGCUUCAAAUCUGUUUCCAAACACUGGCGUUUGCUCUUGCGUCACAGACAUUUCACCCACAGGUAUGAUACCCUUUUAAAAUCUCCUGGUUUUUUUACUACUGACAAUAUAUAUGUUCCGUAUGAUGUUGAAAACCCAACCACUCCCCUUUUUCGUAGUCUCGAUUUCUACCCCGAUCCUCGCGGCAUCAGAAUUGUUCAAUCUUGUAAUGGAUUACUCCUUUGCUGUACCUAUCGAGGGAGCAUAGAUGCUCGUAAGUAUUAUGUGUUUAAUCCCACCACUAAACAAUUUGCAUUCGUCCCGUGUCUCCCCGGAGGUUAUGAAGUCCGUAAAACAAUCCGUUUUAUGGGUCUGGCAUUUCAUCGAACAGAUUGUGUGCACUACAAACUUGUUUGUAUUCGUUCUUUAGAGUCUGAUGAUGAUGAUGAUGUGGAGUUGUUUCAGAUUCAAAUCUACUCGUCUGAUACCAGGGAAUGGAGGAUUUGUCCUGUAACUUUCCGUACGGAUUGCCCCGUUUUCGAUAUGGGAGUUUACUGGAAUGGAGCUAUUCACUGGGCUCCCUCUUAUCGCAAUCAUUUGUACUUUAAAAUCGACGCCGAACAGUUGCAAACGUUGCCCUCGCCAGUGGAGAUGACUAUAUUUCAAACGUUGACAAUGUACUUUGGGGAAUCUAGAGGUCAUUUGCAUUUAACAGUGCUUGUUGAUUCUGAUGAAACCGGUUUACACCUGAACGUGUAUGAGAUGUUGGGCGAUCAUUCAGGGUGGUUUGUCAAGUAUCAACUACAGCUCCAUGAAAUUUGGGGUGCUUUUCCGGAGAUGACUCAUUCGUCGUAUGAUUUUGAUGUCGUUGAUGUGGUUAGAGGUGUAAAAGAAGAAGAUACAUUCAUCGUGCUGAGAAUUCACGGGAAGUUGACAAGAUGCCGGCAUAAUUCCGAGAGUGUAGUUCAUGAAAACUCUUAUUUGAGUGAAUUCCAUCAUGUCUUGCAAGCAUUGGUGCUGACCAACCAGCUGAGGUGGCUGAGGAUGCACCUAGAGAGGAAGUGGGAAUGCUGCUGCUUCAGCCAUUACAGGGGCGGUGUUGUAUGUAGAUAACAGGCUGAAUGCAAUGGGAGUAGGAGUCGAUAGCCCCAUACGUUUCUUGAAUCUCAUCAAGGAUCUUGACAUUCCAAGAGAUGCCAAACAUUAAGGGUUAUAUCACAAAACAUACGCCGCACAAGCCACAGAACAAGUAACGAACGGUCGAACAAAGUGAAACAAGUCGGACAACAUCAGCAGCUCCACCUCUCCGCCGACUCGCCGAUUGCUGCCGUCUGCCGCCGCGACGUCCAUCCUCUCCGCUGCUCGGCUGCUCCGCCUCCGCCGAUUGCUUCCGACACUUUGUUUUUCUUAUACGAAUCAGGCGAUUAAGUCACAUGAAAUUGGAGUAUCUAAAAAAGUGAACCCAGAGAAAAAUAUUCCUGGAUCCGCCACUGACCACAGAGACCCAGAUUCCAAAUGUUAUUGUUUUCUAAGAACCAUAUUUCAAACGUUGACAAUGUACUUUGGGGAAUCUAGAGGUAAUUUGCAUUUAACAGUGCUUGUUGAUUCUAAUGAAACCGGUUUACACCUGAACGUGUAUGAGAUGUUGGGCGAUCAUUCAGGGUGGUUUGUCAAGGAUCAACUACAACUCCAUGAACUUUGGGGUGCCUUCCCGGAGAUGACCCGUAAGCCUUAUAAUUUUAAUGUUGUUGAUGUGGUAAAAGGUGAAAAAGAAGAUACAUUCACUGAGAAUUUUUUGGAGAUAAGAUAUAAUGUUCAUGACAAGAGUUUUAGGCAGAUGUCUGAUGUCAUCGACUACUACGCCUUUAGAAAGGACCCCACCCGUUUGCCCAUCGUUAUAUUGAAACUUUAGCGUAUUUCUAAAAGACAAUUCUAUGUUUUUUAUAUUUUUCUUGAUUAAAA